ensembl:misc_RNA predicted gene, 27698
GAAAUGGAGGUUUUAUUCUAUUUUUAACGACCCUGUCUGGAGAAUUCGUAUAAACUCGGACAUUUCUCCCUCCAGUGCCCACUUUCCGUAGCUGUCUGAGCAAGGGAGAUGUCUCUGGGGCUAUGAAGAUACGGAUGCCUGUGAUGACGUCACUCACGGAUGCCUCUGUUGGGUGACGCCUCCGAACACUAAACUUCUUCUAGUUCCACUUGGUGUGUGGCUGUUAUUAGUGGCACUCUUCCGAGUCACAGCAAA